AGCUCCUUAGCUCAGGGGAAGAGCGCUGGGCUCAUACGAUAUAAUCAUCGUGACACCCAGAGGUCGUCUGAUCGAAACGGACAGGAGCUA
rnacentral:tRNA from 1 species